rnacentral:rRNA from 1 species
GAUGAACGCUAGCUACAGGCUUAACACAUGCAAGUCGAGGGGAAACGCUGAGAGAGCUUGCUCUCUUAGGCGUCGACCGGCGCACGGGUGAGUAACGCGUAUCCAACCUACCCAUUACAGGGGGAUAACCUUGCGAAAGUAAGACUAAUACCCCAUGGCAUUUUAUGGUGGCAUCAUUAUAGGAUUAAAGAUUUAUUGGUAAUGGAUGGGGAUGCGUCUGAUUAGCUUGUUGGCGGGGUAACGGCCCACCAAGGCAACGAUCAGUAGGGGUUCUGAGAGGAAGGUCCCCCAAAUUGGAACUGAGACACGGUCCAAACGCCUACGGGAGGCAGCAGUGAGGAAUAUUGGUCAAUGGGCGAGAGCUUGAACCAGCCAAGUAGCGUGCAGGAUGACGGCACUAUGGGUUGUAAACUGCUUUUAUAGGGGAAUAAAGUGAGCUACGUGUAGUUUAUUGCAUGUACCCUAUGAAUAAGGACCGGCUAAUUCCGUG